UGGGAUGGCUUAUUUUAAGCCUGGCAGGGUGGCAAAACUGACAAAUUCCGUCAUUAGGGUUCCAUACACAUUAUUUGCAUGAUCUCACCCCCACAAGUGUGCCAUGUACCUUAUUUACGUUAUUAGCAAGCUAUACAAUUCCGUUGGUGAGCCACAAGCACCUCAUUUUCAUAGUCCCACUCAGUCAUUUGGUGGGAGUUACAAAGACUAUGGCUAAAGGGCCAUGAUUCACCACACUGAAGAAUCGUUGCUCUCAAGUCUCUUGGGUAUAUACCUAGGACUGGAAUUGUUGGACCAUAUGGUGCUAUUUUGAACUUUUUGAGGAGCUGCCCAACUAUUUUCCACAGCAGUUGUACUAUUUUCUAUUCCCACCAGCAAUGGAUAAGGGCUCCAAUUGUGUUAAUGAGAAGGAUUAGUGUAGGGUGUGUCUUGAGUCAGUCUCCUACAAGAGAUAAAAGGAGAGGAUUAGGUGAGCAGAGAUGGGGUAAGAUAGAUGUGAAAACACAUGGAGAUAUCCAGGGAACCAGGAAACAGAAGCUGAAGAGACAAGGAUCUUCCCCCAGAGCUGACAAGAGAUAGAAAGCCUCCCCUUAGAGCUGGCACCCUGAAUUAGGACUUCCAGUCUCCUAAACUGUGAGAAAAUAAAUUUCUGUCUCUUAAAGCCAUUACUUGCAGUAUUUCUGUUACAGCAGCACUAGAUAACUAAGACACAACCCAAAUGUCCAUUAACCGAUGAAUGGAUAAGCAAAAUGUGUUACAUACAUACAAUGGAAUAUUAUUGCCAUGCAGAGAAGUGAAGUUCUGAUACUUUGAUAACAUUAUGCUAAGUGAAAUAAGUCACACACAAAAGGACAAAAUACUGUAUCACUCCAAUUAUGUGAAAUAUCUAGAAUAGGUGCACGAUGUGGAAAGAGACAAAGACCACCCAAAUGAGAACAAAGACUAUUCAGAGCUUGCUGUAGCAAGGGAUAACCACUAUCACUUGUUUGACAGGGUCUCUCAAAGGCAGGAAAGGGAGUGGGAAAACUUUAUAGUGGAAAAAAGGGAAGACUUCAGGUAUGCCCUGAUUGGAAACUCUUAGCAUGGGGAAGCUGGGGGAGGCAGGCUGACUGGAAGAGAUUGGUUGGGGGAGCAUAUUUGGCUUUCUCUGGUUGGUCCAGAGUUGAAAAGAGAUGGGGCCAAAAAUUAAGAAAGAUGUCAGUUAUUAUUCAAGUCCAGGCCAUUGGAGGCCCAUUGCUACAGGGGUUGGUGUUUGGCUUCCUGGGCUGGUUGCUGCAGAUAGUGGUUUGACUUCCUGGGCUGGAUGCUGGAGAUUGUGGGUCAGAGUUCUGUUUUUAUAUAUGGUCCGGCCACUGUCUGUUUGUAUAUUCAAUCUCUCAAUAGUGUAUUAAUGGUUACCAAGGGCUGAAGGAAGUGGAGGAUAGUGAGUUAUUGCUUAAGGGGUACUGAGUUUCUGGUUGGGGUUAUGAAAAAUUUGGAAAUGUUGAUGUUUGCUCAUUACGAGGAUGCAAUUAAUGUCACUGAACUAUACACUUAAAAAUGGUUAAAAUGGCAAAAUUUUUGUUAUAUUUUACUAAACAAAAAUUUGUAAAAAUCACUGUUAACUAUUGUAUGUUGUGUCUUCAUAGACUUCAGUGUGAAUGCUGCUCCCUGCAGCUGCCCUUUACAGUGGUGCUGAUUUUCAUUCUGUUGUUUUCUGUGUAUUUACAUAAAUUAAAUAUGCAUAUAUUUAUAUCUAUUUUCAUUUUGGAAACCCUGGUGGCGUAGUGGUUAAGUGCUACACCCGCUAACCAAAGGGUUAGUAGUUCGAAUCCGCCAGGCACUCCUUGGAAACUCUAUGGGGACAGUUCUACUCUGUCCUAUAGGGUCGCUAUGAGUCGGAAUCAACUCGAUGGCAACGGGUAUUUUCAUUUUAAAAACCUGUAUUCAUGUUAUAGAUCAUUUUGAAUGUCACUUUUUGACAUGUGUUAUUAUACAAGUAUAGCGACCCUGUAAGACAGGGUAGAACUGCCCCAUAGGGUUUCCAAGGAGCGGCUCGUAGAUUGAACUGCAGACCUUUUGAUGAGCAGCAGUAGCUCACCUUAGCUCUUAACCACUGCACCACCAGGGCUCUAUAUUAUAAACCAUGCAUGAAUUUUAUAUCAAAAAAAUUUGUAAAACUUUUGACACUCCCUCUAAAUUCCUUCUUUGAGCCAUCAAUUCUGAGAACAGGACAUUACAGGCAAAUGGACCAAACUAAACAGCUCCUUUCGGCAAUAUUCCCACGCCUGCCUGACCGAAGCCCGCCAAACGUGCAGCUGGCGCCCUGCCGCUUUUGUUCCGGGAGACAAUCCGUUUGGCUGUUGCCACAGCCUGAAUAAAGUACCCAUUCCCUUGCUGUUUGAGUCUUGGAGCAGUUUUAGAAGUUCGACAAUGAAUUUCUAAAUAAUUCAUGAGUCAAAAGAAAAAAAAAGUUACAAAUUACAAAGCACUUAAAACUGAACAAUAAUGAAAAUAAAACCUUGGGUCUUUAUAAAAAAAAAUACGAAUGCUUAUAUAAGCAAACAAGGAAGGCUGACUACGCAAUUAAAAAAAAUUAAAUACAAUACCCCACGACUGAUCUCACAGACCUACCACCCCACUUACGCCACAGUUAUUCUAUCUUUAUCCCUAAAUCAGGAGGCCUGGUGGCUGCAGUGGUUAAGCUCUGGGAUGCUGGACUGCUAACAGAAAGGUUGGAGGAUGGAACCCACCAGCUGCUCUGCAGAAGAUGUGCCAAUCGGCUUCCGCAAACAUUUACAGCCUUUGAAAUCCUAUGGGGCAGUCCUAGUGUAACCUACAGGGUCGCUACGAGUCCCAGGUGGAUUUUGGUGGAUCCCUAAAUUACUUCAACUCCUCCGGCCAAGAUUGGUUAAACGCCCCAGACGGCGACUUCCUCUUCCAGCCCUAAGUCUGACUCCCAACAUUCCCCGGGCAGCAAAUACGCAUGCUCAGCGACAGCAAGGACGCUCCAGCGCGGAAGCUAGAUGGUUACGUCAGUCGACACGUCCAGGAUGCAGUCAUGUCGUAGCUUCCGACAGAGGUGCGUCAGGUGGGAAACGUAAGCCGCCAUGGUGGAAGAGGGCUUAUUCCGUACAACAGAGAAGCGGAGUUGGGUUCCGCGGUAGCGGGGUUUCUUGGUAUCUCUGCAGAAUCCCUGGGCCAGGCAGACUCCUUAGUGGAAACUGUAGGAUCUUCCUUCCAACCCCAGCCCACCUCACCCCGGCAAUUCUGAUUGAGUCUACAGACGCCCACCUGGCUUCAGGCUCCUGAGAAGAGUGAAGCUGUCAGCAAGAAAGCUCGAGGGCUGAGGCCCAGCGUGAACAUGCCAGCUAACAGGAACUCUCCCCAGUGGUUCCUGACCCUGGCUGAGGAGGGACACAGCAGCUUGUGUGAGUCAAGAAAUCAAGACACAUUGCACUGGACAAAUCUGCUACAAAAGACCUCUUCACAGUGUGAAAAGGCAAAGAUGUCACUUUGAGGACUAAGGUGCGCCUGGCUGAAGCCAUGAUAUUUUCCAUUCCUUCAUAUUUAUGCAAAAGCCUGACAGUGAAUAAGGAAGUCUGCAGAAAAACUGAUACCUUUGGAUUAUGGUGUUGGCAAAGAGUAUUGAAUGUACCAUUGACUGCCAGAAGAACAAACAAAUCUAUCUUGGAAGAAGUACAGCCAGAAUGCUCCUUAGAAGCAAGGAUGACGAGACUUCAUCUCACAUACAUUUUAUCAGGAGGGACCGGUCCCUGGGGAACGACAUCAUGCUUGAUAAAGUAGAGGGUCAGUGAAAAGAUGAAGACCUUCAACGAGGUGGACUGACACAAUGGCUGCAACAAAGAGCUCAAGCAUUAACAGUGUUUGUGAGGAUGGUGCAAGACCAGGCAGUGUUCUGUUCUGUUGUACAUGGGGUCACUACAAGUCAGAACUGACUCUGGGGCACCUAACAACAACAACAAUAAUGUUAAUGAGGCAGGAUUGGAGGCAGUUACGUUAAUGAGUCAGGACAUAAUCUAUAGCAUCAGGUUGUAUCUUGAGUCAAUCUCUUUUGAGAAAUAAAAGAGAAGCCAGCAAAGAGAGAGGGACCUCUUACCACCAGGAAAGAAGAGCCAGAGGUGGAACAUGUCCUUUGGACCAGGGAUCCCUGUGCUGAGAAGCUCCUAGACCCAGAAGAAGAUUGAUGACAACGAUCUUCCCCCAGAGCCAACAGAAAGAGAAAGCCUUCCCCUGGCGUUGGCGCCCUGAAUUCAAACUUCUUUUUAUUUUUAUUGUAAGUGAAAGCUUACAAAUCAAGUCAGCCUCUCAUACAAAAAUUUAUAUACACCUUGCUAUUUAUGCCUAGUUGCUCUCCCCCUAAUGAGACAGCACACUCCUUCUCUCCACCCUCUAUUUCCGUGUCCAUUUGGCCAGCUUCUGACCCCCUCUGCCCUCUCAUCUCCCCUCCAAACAGGAACUGCCCACAUAGUCUCAUAUGUCUACUUGAUCCAAGAAGCUCACGCCUCACCAGUAUCAUUUUCUACCCCAUAUUCCAGUCCAAUCCCUGUCUGAAGAGUUGGCUUUGGGAAUGGUUCCUGUCUUGGGCUAACAUGACAUCCGUGGUCCUUCUAGUCUCAGUCAGACCAUUAAGUCUGGUCUUUGUACGAGAAUUUGAGGUCUCCAUCCCACCACUCUCCUGCUCCCUCAGGAGUUCUCUGUUCUGUUCCUCAUCAGGGCAGUCAUGGGUUGUAGCCGGGCACCAUCUAGUUCUUCUGGUCUCAGGCUGAUGUAGUUUGGUUUAUGUAGCCCUUCCUGUCUCUUGGGCUCAUAAUUACCUUGUAUCUUUGGUGUUCUUCAUUCUCCUUUGCUCCAGGUGGCUUAAGACCAAUUGAUGCAUCUUGGAUGAGCGCUUGCUAGUGUUUAAGACCCCAGACACUACUCUCUAAAGUGGGAUGAAGAAUAUUUUCUUAAUAGAUUUUAUUAUGCCAACUGACCUAGAUGUCCCCUGAAACCAUGGUUACCAAAUCUCUGCCCCUGCUAUGCUGGCCUUCAAAGCAUUCAGUUUAUUCAGGAAACAGACUUUGGUUUAGUCCAGUCGUGCUGACCUCUCCUGUAUUGUGUGUUGUCUUUCCCUUCAACAAAAAUAGAUCUUGUCUACUACCUAAUUAGUGAAAAACCCUCUCCCUCCCUCCAUCCCCACUCGAGUAACAACCAUCAAAGAAUAUUUUCAUCUCCAUUUAAACUAUUUCUCAAGUUCUUAUAAUAGUGGUUUCAUACAAUAUUUGUGCUUUUGCAAGCAACUAAGUUCACUCAUAGUGACCCUAUAGGACAGAGUAGAACUGCCCCAUAGAGUUUCCAAGGAGCGCCUGCCUGGCGGAUUUGAACUGCUGACCUCUUGGUUGCACUUAACCACUAUGCCACCAGUGUCGCUAUGAGUCGGAAUCGAAUUGACAGCAGUGAGUUUGGGUUGAGUUCACUCAGCAUAAUGCCUUCCGGAUUCCAUGUUAUAAAAUGUUUCACGGAUUCAUCAUUGUUCUUUAUCGAUGUAUAGUAUUCCAUUGUGUGAAUGUACCAUAAUUUAUUUAUCCAUUGAUCCUUUGAUAGGCACCUUGGUUCCUUCCAUCUUUUUACUAUCGUAAACAGUGCUGCAAUGAACAUGGGUGUGCAUAUAUCUAUUUGUGUGAUGGCUCUUAUUUCUCUACGAUAUAUUCCAAGGAGUGGGAUUGCUGGAUUGUACAGUACUUCUAUUUCUAGCUUUUUAAGGAAGCACCAAAUCGAUUUCCAAAGUGGUUGUACCAUUUUACAUUCCCACCAGCAGUGUAUAAGUGUUCCAGUCUCUCCACAACCUCUCCAAAUUUAUUAUUUUGUGUUUUUUGGAUUAAUGCCAGCCUUGUUGGAGUGAGAUGGAAUCUCAUUGUAGUUUUGAUUUGCAUUUCUCUAGUGGCUAACGAUCAUGAGCAUUUCUUCUUUUUUUUUUUAAUGGCUAACGAUCAAGAGCAUUUCCUCUGUCUGUUAGCUACCUGAAUGUCUUCUUUACUGAAGUUCCUUUGCCCAUUUUUUAAUUGGGUUAUUUGUCUUUUUUGUUUUUGAGUUUUUGCAGUGUUAUGUAGACUUUAGAGAUCAGACGCUGAUCAGAUAUGCCAUAGCUAAAAACUUUUUCCCAGUCUGUAGGUAACCUUUUUACUCUUUUGGUGAAGUCUUUGGAUGAGCAGAGGUGUUUGAUUACUAGGACUUCCCAGUUAUCUACUUUGUCUUCUGGUAUUUGUACACUGUUAAGAAUCUUUUCUAUACUCUUUAUGCCAUGUAUUAGGGCUCCUAGUGUUGUCCCCAUUUUUUCUUGCAUGACCUUUAUCGUUUUAGAUUUUAUAUUUAGGUCUUUGAUCCAUUUUGAGUUAGUUUUGCUCCAUGGUGUGAGCUAUGGGUCUUCUUUCAUUUAUUUGCAGGUCGAUAUCCAGUUACGGCAGCACCAUUUGUUAAAGAGACUGUCCUUUCCCCCAUUUCACUGAUUUUGGGACUUUGUCAAAUAUCACCUGCUUAUAUGUGCAUGGAUUUAUGUCUGGAUUCUCAAUUCUGUUCCACUGGUCUAUGUAUCUGUUGUUGUACCAGCACCAGGUUGUUUUGACUACUGUGGCAGUAUAAUAGCUUCUAAAAUCAGGUAGUGUGAGACCUCCCACUUUUCUCUUCUUUUUAAGUAAUGUGUUACUUAUCUGGGGCCUCUUUCCCUUCCAUAUGAAGUUGGUGAUUUGUUUCUCCAUCUCAUUGAAAAAUGUCGUUGGAAUUUGGAUCAGAAUUUCAUUGUAUCUAUAGAUCGCUUUUGCUAGAAUAGGCAUUUUUACAAAGUUCAGUCUUCCUAUCCAUGAGCAAGGUAUGUUUUUCCACUUAUGUAGGUCUCUUUUGGUUUCUUGCAGUGGGGUCUCGUAGUUUUUUCCUAUAUGUCUUUUACAUCUCUGGGAAGAUUUAUUCCUAAGUAUUCUAUCUUCUUGUGGGCUACUGUAAAUCGUAUUGAUUUGGUGAUUACCUCUUUGAUGUUCUUUUUGUUGGUGUAGAGGGAUCCAAUUGAUUUUUUUAUGUUUAUCUCGUAUCCUGACAUUCUGCUGGACUCUAUUAGUUUCAGUAGCAUCUUUAGGAUUCCUUCGGGUUUUCUGUAUACAAGAUCAUGUCAUCUACAAAUAUAUUUUUACUCCUUCCUAACCAAUUUGGAUGCCUUUAUUUCUUUAUCUAGCCUAAUUGCUCUGGCUAGGACCUCCAACACAAUGUUAAAAAAGAGUGGUGAUAAACGACAUGCUGCUCUGGUUCCUGAUCUCAAGGGGAAUGCUUUCAGACUCUCUCCAUUUAGGAUGAUGUUGGCUGUUGGCUUUGUAUAAAUGCCUUUAUUAUGUUGAGAAAUUUUCCUUCUAUCCCUAUUUUGCUGGGAGUUUUUAUCAUGAAUGGGUGUUGAACUUUGUCAAAUGACUUUUCUUCAUCAAUUCAUAAGAUCAUGUGGUUCUUGUCUUUUGUUUAAUUUAUACGAAGGAUUACACUGAUUGUUUUUCUAAUGUUGAACCAUCCCUGCAUACCUGAUAUGAAUCCCACUUGGUCAUGGUCAAUUUUUUUUUUGAUAUGCUGUUGAAUUCUUUCGGCUAGAGUAUUGUUGAGGAUUUUUGCAUCUAAGUUCAUGAAGGAUAUAGGUCUGUAAUUUUCUUUUUUUGUGGUGUCUUUACCUCGAUUUGGUAUCAGGCAUAUGCUGGCUUUGUAGAAUGAGUUUGGAGUAUUCUGUACUUCUCUAUGUUCUGAAAUACCUUUAGCAGUAGUGGUGUUAUCUCUUUGCUGAAACAUUGGUAGAACCCUCCUGUGAAGCCAUCCGGGCCAGGGCUUUUUUUUUGUUGUCGGGAGUUUUUAAAUUACCUUUUCAAUCUCUUCUUUUGUUACGGGUUUAUUUACUCGUUCUACCUCUGUUUGUAUUAGUUUGGGUAGGUAGAGUUUUUCUAGAAAUUCAUCCAUUUCUUCUAGGUUUUCAAAUUUGCGAGAGUACAAUUUUUUGUAGUAAUCUGACAUGAUUCUUUUAAUUUCAGUUGAGUAUGUUGUGAUAUCGCCCAUCUCAUUUUUUAUUCUGGUUAUUUGCUUCCUCUCCUGUUUUUCUCUUAUCAGUUUGGCCAAUGGUUUAUAAAUUUUGUUGAUUUUUUCAAAGAACCAGAUUUUGGUCUUGUUAACUCUUUUAAUUGUUUUUCUGUUCUCUAUUUCAUUCAAUUCUUCCCUAAUUUUUAUUAUUUGCUUCCUUCUAGUGCCUGAGGGUUUCCUUUGUUGCUCUCUUUCUAUUUGUUCAAGUUGUAGGGAUAAUUCUCUGAUUCUGGCCCUUUCUUUUUGGAUAUGUGCAUUUAUUGAUAUAACUUGACCUCUGAGCACUGCUUUAGCUGUGUCCCAAAGUUUCUGAUAGGAAGUGUUUUCAUUCUCAUUAGAUUCUAUGAAUUUCUUUAUUGCAUCCUUAAUGUCUUCUAUAACCCAGUAGUUUUUGAGCAGGGUAUUGUUCAGUUUCCAAGUAUUUGAUUUCUUUUCUCUGCUUUUUCUGUCAUAGAUUUCUACUUUUAUGGCCUUAUGGUCAGAGAAGAUGCUUCGUAAUAUUUCAGUGUUUUGAAUUUUGCUAAGGCUUGCUUUAUGGCCUAAUAUGUGGUCUAUUCUAGAGAAGUUCCAUCCGCGCUAGAAAAGAAAGUAUACUUGGCUGCUGUUGGGUGGAGUGUUCUGUAUAUGUCUAUGAGGUCAAGUUGGUUGACUGAGGCAUUUAGAUCUUCCAUGUCUUUAUUGAGCUGCUUUCUGGAUGUUCUGUCCUUCACUGAACGCAGUGUGUUGAAGUCUCCUACUAUAAUUGUCUCUUUCACUUUUCAAUGCUGUUAGAGUUUAUAUAUCUUGCAGCCCUGUCAUUGGGUGCAUAAACAUUUAACAUGGCUAUAUGCUCCUGGUAUAUUGUCUCUUUAAUCAUUGUGUAGUGUGCUUUCUUAUCCUUUAUGGUGCAUUUAACUUUAAAGUCUAUUUUGUCAGAAAUUAAUUUUGCCACUCCUCCUCUUUUUUGAUUGUUGAUUUCCUGAUGUAUUUUUUUCCAUCUUUUGAGUUUUAGUUUGUUUUUGUCUCUAAGUCUAAGGUGUGACUCUUGUAGGCAGCAUAUAUACGGAUUUUGUUUUUUUUAUCCAUUCUGUCACUCUCUCUUUAUUAGUGCAUUUAGUCUGUUGGCAUUCAACGUAAUUAUGAAUUGGUAUGAAUUUAGUGUUGUCAUUUUGAUGUCUUUUUUGUGUGUCGUGGACAAUUUUUUCCCACUUAAAUUUUUGUGCUGAGUAGUUCAUCUUUAUAUAUUGUCUUUUCAUGUUAUUCGUUGUUGAUUUUGUUUCUGCCGAGUCUCUGUUUUUUUCUUGUAUUUUAUUUUGAUGAUAUUUUAUUUUUUCUUGUAUUUUAUUUUGAUGAUAUUUACUCCUAUUUUCCUAAGUUUUAACCUAACUUUUAUUUCUUUAUAUCACCUUGUCUUCCUCUCCAUAUGAAGGACCUAAGACUACAUUUCUUAGUCCCUGUUUAUUGUUUUAAUGUUGUCUUCGUUGAUAUGUUUCCCUGCUUUGACCUUUUUUUUAUCUUGAUUUAUUUUUGUGAUUUCCCUAUGUGGGUUGCCAUCUGGUUGCUCUGUCCUGUGUUCUAGUCUUGGGUCGAUAUCUGAUAUUAUUGAUUUUCUAACCAGAGAAAUCCCUUUAGUAUUUCUUGUAGUUUUGGUUUGGUUUUUUACGAAUUCCCUAAACUUCUGGUUAUCUGGAAAUGUAGUAAUUUCACCUUCAUAUGUGAGAGAAAGUUUUGCUGGAUAUAUGAUUCUUGGCUGGCAAUUUUUUUCCUUCAAUGCUUUAUAUGUCAUCCCAUUGCCUUCUUGCCUGCACGGUUUCUGCAGAGUAGUCUGAGCUUAUUCUUAUUUACUCUCCUUUGUUGGUGACUUUUCAUUUAUCCCUAGCCACUCUUAAAAUUCUUUAUCUUCAGUUUUGGAAGUUUCAUUAUAAUAUGUCUCGGUGAUUUUCUUUUGAGAUCUACUCUACCUUUUUAUGUGGAGUUUGAUGAGCAUCUUGGAUAGAUAUCUUCUCAUCUUGCACGAUAUCUGGGAAGUUUUCUGCCACUAAAUCUUCAACAAUUCUGUCUGUAUGUUCUGUUAUCCCUCCCUGUUCUGGUACUCUAAUCACUCAUAGGUUAUUUCUUUUGAUAGAGUCCCACAUGAUUCUUAGGGUUUAUUUUUUUUAAUUCUUUUAUCUAAUUUUUCUUCAAAUAUAUUGGUGCCAAGUGUUCUAUCUUCACUCACUAAUUCUGCCUUCCAUGUCCUCAAUUCUGCUCCUCUGACUUUCUAUUGAGUUGUCUAAUUCUGUAAUUUUAUUGUUAAUCUUCUGAGUUUGAUUUCUGUCUCUCUGCAGAUUCUUCCAGCUUAUUAAAUUUUUCGUUAUGUUCUUGAAUAACUUUUCUAACUUCAACUGUCUGUUCCUUGGCUUGUUCUGUGUAUUGCCUGAUCACCUUCCUGAUCUCGUUCCUGAUGUCUUGAAGAGUUCUGCAUAUUAAUCUUUUGUAUUCUGCAUCUGGUAAUUCCAGGAAGGCACCUUUAUCCAGAAGAUCCCUUGAUUCCUUGUUUUGAGAGCUUGUUGACGCGAUCACGGUCUGCUUCUUUAUAUGAUUUGAUAUUGACUGUUGUGUCUGAGCCAUCUAUAAGUUAUUAGUUUAUUUUAUGUUUGCUUACUGUUUCCUAGCUUUUUGCUUUCUUUUGUUUUGAUAUGCCCAAAUAGGUUCCUGAGUGAGCUAGCUUGAUUAUUUUUGCCUUUGAAGCUAAUGUCCUGUCACCAGCUGGCUAGAGCUGUUAUCAGGUAUAUGAGCCUAGGAGUCCAUCCACUUUUCCUGUAUGGAUUCGGCUCAGGUGUCCAGAUAGUUGGUCAUCAAGUGUGUGGUACAAGCUCUGUCCUACAGUCUUAGAGGGGCAGGGGUGAUUGGUGUAGGUACAAAUAUCUGGUUGCAGCAGGAGGUCAUGCUCUGAACAAGGCAGGGGGCUGACAAACUUCCCCCGAGUCUGUGAGGAAAGUGUGUCCCUGUUUCCUAGAGCACACAGGUGGGUGGGUUCUGCAGACGGACCUUGGGCACCCAAUGCUUUUGGUUGUAAGGACUGAGAGGUACCAGUUGUCCUUGGACCCCAGUUGCAGAUGGCUGUGUGACGUGAGUGGAGCCACUAGUCCUUAGGCCCCUGAUGUGGGUAGGUGAGGACCCUGUUUAAUAGGCAAAGUACUCUCAAACAUUGAACAACCACCUCUCCACCGCACAGCUGAAACAGUUGCAGUCUGCCAACAAGGGCCUAUUCUCCUGAAAUAGGCCCACACAGGUCCAUGCAGGGGGCAAAGGUAUUCAAAGUCCACGGACUGUUUAUGCCUAGACAGGAGCUGCUUCUGUCCUGAGCUCCCCAGGUUAGUGGAGUUGAUAGAUUAUCUUUUCCCCCAAUUGUGAAUUUAUUCCUUCUCCAAGGCCAGGAGAAUGCCUCAGGAUGGUCAGCAGGACCUAUCUCAGGCCCAUGGAAAUCAACGGCCACAUAAGCCAGCUUGGGGGCUGGGGCUGCAGUAAAAUAUACAGAAGUACUUAGCUUUGGCUGAGGGCACCACUCCUCUCUGGUUCCGGAGGUGUGAGUAGGAUGUGUGGCUGGUUGUCUCUCCCUGAGGAAACUGUAGCUAGAACGCUACUGCCAGCCUGCCACAGUCGCUCCUGGGAAUGGCAUCUGAGGGUUCCUGGUGAUUCAAGUCUGGAAACUCCUCUCCACUUCUGAACCGUCUCUCUCACCCCCUGCUGCUCAGUCCAUUUUAUAUAUUUUCCUGCGAUGUUCAGGGCUCCUAGCUUAUCAUAAAUAUAAUUGUUUCACUUGAUUUUUCAGGUCUUUUUUGUAAGAGGGAUCACUGGAAGCAUCUGACUACUCCGCCAUCUUGGCCCCCUGAAUUCGGAGUUCUUACAACAUUAUUUUGUAGUUUUCAACAUACAAGUCCUGAAUAUGUUUGUUCUAUUUACACCUAAGUAUUUCAUUUCUCUGGAAUAAUUGAUAUUGUAUUUAAAAUUUUUAUGUCCAUGUGGUCGUUGGUAUUAUGUAGAAAUACAAUUGAUUUUUGUAUGUUUACCUUGUAUCCUGAGACCCUGCCGAAUUCACUUAUUAGCUCUAAAAAAUUUUUAGUAGACAAUCAUGCUCUCCUUAAACGGCGACAGUUUUUUCUUCCUUUCUAUUCUGUAUCCCUUUUAUUUCCUUUUCAUGUCUUAUUGCCCUAGCUAAAACUGCCAGCACUAUGUUAAAUAAAAUCAGGGUGAGUGGACAUUAUUUCCUUGAUCCUGAUCUUAGGGGAAAAGCAUUCAGUCUUUCACCAUUAAGUAUGAUUUUAGUUGUACAUAUUUUUUGUAUGUACUCUUUAACAAGUUGAAGAAGCCCCUCUCUGUUCCUUUAUUUCUGAGAAUUUUUUUCAGGAAUGAGGGACGGAUUUUGCCAAAUGCUUUUUCUGCACUAAGUGAUAUGAUGAUGCAAUUUUUUUCUCCAUCCUGUCAAUAUACUGUAUUACAUGUAUUGAUUAUUGAAUAUCUGACCAGCCUUGCAUCCAAAUAAACCUCCUCUGACACGGUGUAUAAGUCCUUUUAUAUAUACCUGAAUUUUAUUUACAAAUAUCUUGAUAAUGUUUUUUUUAUCUGUAUUCAUGACAGAUAUUGGUCAGUAGUUUUCUCUUUUUAUACUGUCAUAUCAAUGAGAUAUAUUUGAAAAGUGCUUAUUUCCUCUUUUAUUUUCUGGAAGAGAAUGUGUGGGACCAGUGCUAAUACUUAACAUUUGUUAGUAUUUCCCACUGCAAUAACAUUUAUCUUUGGUUUUUGUGAUGGUUAAGGUUAUGCGUCAACUUCGCUAGGCUAUGAUUCUCAGUGGUUUGACAGAUAUUAUGUAAUCAUCGUCCAUUUUGAGAUCUGAUGUGAGCAACCAAUCAGUUGAAAACAGAGUUUCCUUGAGUAUAAGGCCUGCAUUCAAUAUAUAUAGAUGUUCUGGUAAAGUUUGCCCUCUCUGGAUCUUGCGUUUGGUUCAUCAUCCUCUGACCUCCGGUUCUUGGGACAUGAGCCAGCAGCCUGCCAGGAUCUGCAGAUGUUGGGAUUCGCCAGUUCCUGCAGCCCUGUGAGCCAACAGUCUGCUGUCUUAACUGCCAAUUUUGGAAUCAUCAGCCCCUGCAACCACAUGAGUCAGGAGAAGCCUCUAGCUUGACAUCUGACCCAUGGAUUUGAGACUUGCUGGCCUCCACAACUGUGUGAGCUAUUUUCUUGAAAUUUCUCUCUCUCUCUCUCUCAAACCAGCUUCACUGGUUUUGCUCCUCUAGAGACCUAGCCUAAGAUAGUUUUCAGGAGUUUGAUUAUAAAUUAUAUUGGUGUGGAUCUCUUUGGGUUUAUACUGCUUAGAAUUUGUUUAGCUUCUUGGAUUUAUAGAUGCAUGUUCUUCAUUAAAUAUGGGAGGUUUUCUGCUAAUAUUUGUACAAAUAUUCUUUCUAUCUCUUUCUCUUUUCUCCUUCUGGGAUUACCAUCAUGUGUGUGUCGGUUCACUGGGUACCUGUUGGUGUCGAGUUGAUUCCAAAUCAUAGUGACCCUAUAGGACAGAGUAGAACUGCCUCACAGGGUUUCCAAGGCUGUAAUUUUUUUUUUAAUUUUUAUGGUGCUUUAAGUAACAGUUUACAAAUCAAGUCAGUCUCUCAGACAAAAACUUAUAUACGUCUUGCUACAUACUCCCAAUUCCUCUCCCCCUAAUGAGACAGCCUGCUCCCUCCCUCCACUCUCUCUUUUCAUGCCCAUUUUGCCAGCUUCCAAUCCCCUUUACCCUCUCACCUCCCCUCCAGGGAAGAGAUACCAACAUAGUCUCAAGUGUCCACCUGAUCCAAGAAGCUAACUCCUCACAAGCAUCCCUCUCCAACCCAUUGUCCAGUCCAAUUCGUGUCUG